rnacentral:rRNA from 1 species
AGAGUUUGAUCAUGGCUCAGAAUCAACGCUGGCGGCGUGCCUAACACAUGCAAGUCGCACGAGAAAGGGUAGCAAUACCUGAGUAAAGUGGCGCACGGGUGAGUAACACGUGAAUUAUCUACCUCCGAGUGGGGAAUAACUGAGAGAAAUCUUAGCUAAUACCGCAUAACACUUACGAGUCAAAGCAGCAAUGCGCUUGGAGAGGAGUUCGCGGCAGAUUAGUUAGUUGGCGGGGUAAUGGCCCACCAAGACGAUGAUCUGUAUCCGGCCUGAGAGGGCGGACGGACACACUGGAACUGAGACACGGUCCAGACUCCUACGGGAGGCAGCAGUAGGGAAUUGUUCGCAAUGGGCGCAAGCCUGACGACGCAACGCCGCGUGGAGGAUGAAGACCUUCGGGUCGUAAACUCCUUUCGACCGAGAUGAACACUCACCGGCCUAAUACGCUGGUGGAUUGACAGUAUCGAGGGAAGAAGCCCCGGCUAACUCCGUGCCAGCAGCCGCGGUAAUAC